rnacentral:rRNA from 1 species
ACGGGCUGGACCUCUCGGGGUUACAGCCUUGCUGAAUUAUUCACCCUUGUCUUUUGCGUACUUCUUGUUUCCUUGGUGGGUUCGCCCACCACUAGGACAAACAUAAACCUUUUGUAAUUGCAAUCAGCGUCAGUAACAAAUUAAUAAUUACAACUUUCAACAACGGAUCUCUUGGUUCUGGCAUCGAUGAAGAACGCAGCGAAAUGCGAUAAGUAGUGUGAAUUGCAGAAUUCAGUGAAUCAUCGAAUCUUUGAACGCACAUUGCGCCCUUUGGUAUUCCAAAGGGCAUGCCUGUUCGAGCGUCAUUUGUACCCUCAAGCUUUGCUUGGUGUUGGGCGUCUUGUCUCUAGCUUUGCUGGAGACUCGCCUUAAAGUAAUUGGCAGCCGGCCUACUGGUUUCGGAGCGCAGCACAAGUCGCACUCUCUAUCAGCAAAGGUCUAGCAUCCAUUAAGCCUUUUUUUCAACUUUUGACCUCGGAUCAGGUAGGGAUACCCGCUGAACUUAAGCAUAUCU